rnacentral:snRNA from 1 species
UGAAUUUCUAUCGUCACCUC